rnacentral:rRNA from 1 species
AUGGUAGCUUUAAGUUUCAACUCUGAAACCUUGUAUGAUGACGACCGGCAAAAUCGUAAGUUUCAGAAACUAAAACUUAAAGCUUACAGUGCCUUCAUGCGGGAUCCAACAACUUUGCUGAUUGUGAUGCAAUCGGGCAGCUGGAAUGGCUGGGCUGGUGCGAGCUUCCGCAGCUUGGUGCCCGUGCGAAUCUUCCUUUUUUUGUGGGGAGAAAUAGCUUGCGCUGUGUCAAACCAAAGGAGACAGUCUAGGAUGCCCAGAAGAUAUUUAGAUAUUUAUGAAUCGAAUAGAGGUAAAUACACUGAUGAUCACUGUAUUUGA